GGACCUCCCUCUCUCUCUUCACGGACUUGUCUCCUAUUCUCUCUCUCUUCCCGGACCUCCCUCUCUCUCUUCGCGGACCUCCCUGACACGAUGCAGCAGUAGCAAUGGACGCGAUGGCAGCGAUGCAGCACCAUUGAAGCCCUUGGGCUUGGGCAUCGCCUCUCUCUCUUUAUCAUCCAUUGAAGCCCUCUCAGCCCACACAGAGGGAUGGACACGUCUCUCUGUGUAGCUGCAGCAGCAGUAGCGCAUCCCUCUCUCUUUGUCUAUAUGCAGCCAUUGAAGCCCCUGAGCUUGGGCAUCUCUCUUUUUUUAGUAACUAUUGAAGCCCUCUGAGCCCACACAGAAAUAGAAACCCUCUUGCCCCUCCCCAUUAGCAACUAUUGAAGCCCUCUCGCUCGCUCAGAAAAACCCUGGCUGGCCUCCCAACUGUAGCCCACCCCAUCUCUAAAGAUUGAUUUUAUUCUAGGCAAGAACCCUCGAAAGAUGAGCUAUAUUGUGGGUUUCGAAAACCACAACCCAAAACAUGUACACCAUAGAACAACUUCAAUCCCUAAGAACAAGAUCAAGUACUCUUACAAGGGUGGGUGGAAAUGGGGAGGGACACGCCCAAACCUAACCCAAACACACGUGUGGGGGCAAUGGUGCCAGGACCCGACAAGCACGAUGGUUUCAAAGAUGUAAGAGGAAACUACAAUGACACCAAGCCCACUCUCGCUGGCAAUGCUACUUAAGUGGCUGCUUUGGUUGCUCUCUCCUGUGAGUCACAUUCCAUCGACAACAAUAUCAUCUUCUCUGCAGUGCCACCCAUGUUCCCUACUCCCCCGCCCUCUCUAGCUCCUUGGAACCUUGAGACAGAGAUAGAGAGAGAGAUAUAGAGGGAGAGAGCCACCACCAUCCAUUUUAGGAUGGCGGUGUUUACUUGUUCUUAAGCUAGAAAGAGAGGGGCGCUAGAGAAUGGGGAGAGGUUACAUGGGGUCUCUGAUGUUGGAGGUUUGCUUGCACUUAAUCUUUAUUGUAUUCAUAUUUUGUAGGUACAAUAUUCUUGAUUGUUUCGCACUCUCUAUGUGCUCUGUGUGACAUAUAGAGUGAUACUGUGUAUUUGCUAUUACUUUUUGACUCCCCAAAGAGGGAUGCUAAUGAUAAAAGAAUUAUGAAAUUUGUGCUCC